GUGACCUGAUGCACAUGGAAUG
rnacentral:rRNA from 1 species